rnacentral:SRP_RNA from 1 species
UGAUGGGCUAGGGGGGGAGUUGACGUGCUCUGUUUUUCACAAAUCGUCGAAAAUGGUGACCCGAAGUCCGAGGGCGGCGCAGACGAGCGCAUGAGAUCGCAUCAGUUGACUACGAUGCCUCGCCCCCAAGAGAUCCAGGUUGUCGUGAGUCAAUUCCGGAGGGGAUUGAUGAGCGUCUCAAGCCCGGGAACCAGGUCAGGCGCGGAAGCGAGCAACCCGACCGGGGAUGCUGGAUGCCUUGGGAUUGCGGGGCGGAGGAUAUUGGUGCACUAGUCUCAUGUGUGACGAGUGCCCACCGAGGACGCGCCCACAA